UACAGAGGGUGCAAGCGUUAAUCGGAAUUACUGGGCGUAAAGCGCGCGUAGGCGGCUAAUUAAGUCGGGUGUGAAAGCCCCGGGCUCAACCUGGGAAUUGCAUCCGAUACUGAUUGGCUAGAGUAUGAGAGAGGGAGGUAGAAUUCCACGUGUAGCGGUGAAAUGCGUAGAUAUGUGGAGGAAUACCGGUGGCGAAGGCGGCCUCCUGGCUUAAUACUGACGCU
rnacentral:rRNA from 1 species